AUUGAACGCUGGCGGCAGGCCUAACGCAUGCAAGUCGAGCGGUAGAGAGAAGCUUGCUUCUCUUGAGGGCGGCGGACGGGUGAGUAAUGCCUAGGAAUCUGCCUGGUAGUGGGGGAUAACGUUCGGAAACGGACGCUAAUACCGCAUACGUCCUACGGGAGAAAGCAGGGGACCUUCGGGCCUUGCGCUAUCAGAUGAGCCUAGGUCGGAUUAGCUAGUUGGUGAGGUAAUGGCUCACCAAGGCGACGAUCCGUAACUGGUCUGAGAGGAUGAUCAGUCACACUGGAACUGAGACACGGUCCAGACUCCUACGGGAGGCAGCAGUGGGGAAUAUUGGACAAUGGGCGAAAGCCUGAUCCAGCCAUGCCGCGUGUGUGAAGAAGGUCUUCGGAUUGUAAAGCACUUUAAGUUGGGAGGAAGGGUUGUAGAUUAAUACUCUGCAAUUUUGACGUUACCGACAGAAUAAGCACCGGCUAACUCUGUGCCAGCAGCCGCGGUAAUACAGAGGGUGCAAGCGUUAAUCGGAAUUACUGGGCGUAAAGCGCGCGUAGGUGGUUUGUUAAGUUGGAUGUGAAAUCCCCGGGCUCAACCUGGGAACUGCAUUCAAAACUGACUGACUAGAGUAUGGUAGAGGGUGGUGGAAAUUUCCUGGGGAAAGGUGAAAUGCAUAAAAAUAGGAAGAACACCAGUGGCGAGAAGGGACCACCUGGGACUGAUACUGGCCUGGAGUGCGAAAGCCUGGGGAGCGAACAGGAUAGAUACUCGUGGAGUGGCGGGGCGCAUUCUGCGGGGGGUUGGGGGGAGUGAUCCCCUCGCGGGGGGUUUGGGUUUCUUGUUUGAGUUGUGCUUACCGUCUACGGACGUCACAUAGCUCGCCAUUC
rnacentral:rRNA from 1 species